UGGGGAAUAUUGGACAACGGGCGCAAGCCUGAUCCAGCCAUGCCGCGUGAGUGAUGAAGGCCUUAGGGUUGUAAAGCUCUUUCGCCGACGAAGAUAAUGACGGUAGUCGGAGAAGAAGCCCCGGCUAACUUCGUGCCAGCAGCCGCGGUAAUACGAAGGGGGCUAGCGUUGUUCGGAAUCACUGGGCGUAAAGCGCACGUAGGCGGAUUGUUAAGUCAGGGGUGAAAGCCUGGAGCUCAACUCCAGAACUGCCCUUGAUACUGGCAAUCUCGAGUCCGGAAGAGGUAAGUGGAACUGCGAGUGUAGAGGUGAAAUUCGUAGAUAUUCGCAAGAACACCAGUGGCGAAGGCGGCUUACUGGUCCGGUACUGACGCUGAGGUGCGAAAGCGUGGGGAGCAAAACAGGAUUAGAUACCCUGGUAGUCCACGCCGUAAACGAUGGAGGCUAGCCGUUGGCGAGCAUGCUCGUCAGUGGCGCAGCUAACGCAUUAAGCCUCCCGCCUGGGGAGUACGGUCGCAAGAUUAAAACUCAAAGGAAUUGACGGGGUCAUAGCUGUUUCCU
rnacentral:rRNA from 1 species